rnacentral:tRNA from 1 species
GCAUCGGUGGUUCAGUGGUAGAAUGCUCGCCUGCCACGCGGGCGGCCCGGGUUCGAUUCCUGUCGUCGUC